rnacentral:rRNA from 1 species
UUAAGAGUUUGAUCCUGGCUCAGAUUGAACGCUGGCGGUAUGCAUUACACAUGCAAGUUAAACGGCUGUAAUAUCAGCAGUAGCAAACGGGUGAGUAAUACACUUGAAACAUACCUAAUAGAUAAGAAUAAUUUUGUGAAAAUAAUUUUAACUCUUAAUGAAUUGUUUAAAAAUAAAAUUAAACUAAAUAUACGAAUAAUAUUUAACAUCGUAUGCUUUUAGAUUGGCAAGUGCCAGAUUAUGUUUGUUGGUUAGAUAAAAGCUUAACCAAGACUUAGAUCUGUAGCUGUUCUGAGAGGAAGUUCAGCCACAUCGGGACUGAGACACGGCCCGAACUCCUACGGGAGGCAGCAGUGAGGAAUAUUGGACAAUGAGCGAAAGCUUGAUCCAGCAAUACCGCGUGUGUGAAGAAGGUCUUAGGAUUGUAAAACACUUUUUUUUAGGAUUAAAACUUUAUAUCUAAUAAAUAUAAAAAUGAAAGUACUAAAAGAAUAAGUACCGGCUAAUUGCGUGCCAGCAGCCGCGGUAAUACGUGAGGUGCAAGCGUUAAUCGGAAUUAUUGGGCGUAAAGCGUGUGUAGGCUGUUUAAUGUGAUAUUUGUAAAAUCUAAAAGCUCAACUUUUAAAAGCAAAUAUUACUAUUAGGCUUUGAAAUUUUUAUAGAGGGAAACGGAAUUCUGCAAGUAGUAGUGAAAUGCGUAGAUAUGCAGAGGAACACCAACAGCGAAGGCAGUUUCCUGGGUAAAAUUUGACGCUGAGACACUAAAGCGUGGGGAGCAAACAGGAUUAGAUACCCUGGUAGUCCACGCCCUAAACGUUGUCAACUAGCUAUUAGGAAAAUAUCUUAGUGGCGUAGCUAACGCAUUAAGUUGACCGCCUGGGUAGUACGAUCGCAAGAUUAAAACUCAAAGGAAUUGACGGGGACCUGCACAAGCGGUGGAUGAUGUGGAUUAAUUCGAUGAUACACGAAAAACCUUACCUACUCUUGACAUGUAUGAAAUCUUUUUGAGAAAAAGGAGUGCCUUUUAAAGAAAGGAAUCAUAACACAGGUGCUGCAUGGCUGUCGUCAGCUCGUGUCGUGAGAUGUUUGAUUAAGUUCUGUAACGAGCGCAACCCUUGCUUUUUUUUUCUACCAAAAGUGAUAAAUAAAAGGACUGCCGUUUUAUGGAGGAAGGAAAGGAUGACGUCAAGUCCUCAUGGCCCUUAUGAGUAGGGCUUCACACGUCAUACAAUGGUUAAUACAAUGAGUAAGUGAAUAACAAAACUAUAAAAUUAAUCUCAGUUCGGAUUGAGUUCUGCAACUCGAAUUCAUGAAGUUGGAAUCGCUAGUAAUCGCAGAUCAGCGUGCUGCGGUGAAUACGUUCUCAGGUCUUGUACACACCGCCCGUCACACCAUGGAAAUAAGUUUUAUUGGAAAUAAAUUCAUUAACCUUUUAGGGAAUGAGUUUAUGAUAAUAAAGUUUGUAACUGGGGUGAAGUCGUAACAAGGUAGCUGUAUCGGAAGGUGCGGCUGGAU